rnacentral:rRNA from 1 species
GUCGGUGCCUAUAGCGAUGAGGGUCCACCCGUUCCCAUCCCGAACACGGAAGUUAAGCUCAUCAGUGCCGAAAAUACUUGGGGGGCAGCCCCCUGGGAAGAUAGGGCGACGCCGACA